rnacentral:rRNA from 1 species
UACGUAGGGAGCAAGCGUUGUCCGGAUUUACUGGGUGUAAAGGGUGCGUAGGCGGCGAUGCAAGUCAGGCGUGAAAUCCAUCGGCUUAACUGAUGAACUGCGUUUGAAACUGUGUCGCUUGAGUGAGUCAGAGGCAGGCGGAAUUCCCGGUGUAGCGGUGAAAUGCGUAGAGAUCGGGAGGAACACCAGUGGCGAAGGCGGCCUGCUGGGGCUUAACUGACGCUGAGGCACGAAAGCGUGGGGAGCAAACAGG